rnacentral:lncRNA from 1 species
AGGAAAAGGCUAGACAUUAUAGAAGAGAGGGACAGAAAAUAAGUUUGAAGAAAAGGGUUUUUCCACAAAGUGACUUUCCACAGAGAUGGUAAUGGAAGCGUCUAGAGGCAGGAUGUAAAAUGGCAAAAUGUCUAUCUAACUCCAAAGGUUCUUAGGGAAAUUAAAAAGAAGUCUGGGCAUGCCUUUCCUGUAAGGUUUUACCAGUUUGGAUGUAAAAUUUGAGGAAGGCUUGUUUUUGGAACAAAAGAAAAAAAUUGGGGAGCUGUGGAGGAGA